CUUUUUCUCCUGUAACUGAUCACAUGACUGAGAUGUCAUCGCAGGUCCUGCAGCCCCAGGAGGUGAGAUCUGCAGGUUCAGGAUUCUCUUCUUUUGAGAGACUAUGGUCCUUUCCAUCAAGGACCCACCAAGGAUGGAGAAGGACAGAGACCACAUGGCUGCAAGGAUAUUAGACCUUACCCUAGAGAUCAUCUCCUUGAUAACUGGAGAGGAUUACACAGUAGUGAAGAAGUCGUCCG